AAUCUACAUCUAAGCCCUUAAGUUCAGCAUUACUCUCUGCAUUUUUGAGCAUGUGAAGUAAAAAUUCAGCACUCUUUUUGGGCCACCGACCCUGCAUCCAGCCCCACUGUUUGGCCUGGGCACACCUACCAACUCCACCAUUGUAAAGACAGAUUGGAAGAGCAAAC